CUGCAGUCAUUUAAACAGAACGUCCCUCUCCUGGUGGGGAUGUGGAGUGCAAGGGCUGCAAACAGCCACCUCCUUGAGUCUUAUAUGGGUUGCCCUGAGGGACUGUGAAGACAAUU
rnacentral:snoRNA from 1 species